rnacentral:rRNA from 1 species
AUGCCCGCCGUCAAACCACCAGAGUGGGAGGCCAUGUCUGCCAACGAGCAGUUGUUGUGGUAUCUUGAGAGGUUAUGCGCCCAGGCAGAUGAGAUGAGCUCAGCGUUGGGUAUUGCAAGCACGGGUGCCCCUCUGGUGGUUACCACGCUUGUUGAUCCGGCGGCCUCAACCACGAUGCACGCCUCGUCGGCGCCCGUUGCCGACGUCUCCGGCUCCACCACCAAGGCCCAGGAAGUGCUCGCGGUCAUCCACUACGUGCCCCCUGCCUGUGUCACGAUGGGGCACAUCACCUGUUCGACGGAUGGCUUGAACCAAGCUGUCGCCACCAACAGCGCCAACAAGGUCACCACCGUAUGCCCCAAGCCCUUCAUCGACCUCAGCGACAAGUUCGACGCCCUCAACAUUCAUGUGACGACCAGCACCAAUCCGCCGCUCCACGUCCAGGUUUCGUCACCAAAGUCUUCCCCCGACAGCACCUGCGGCGUCGCUGUUGCAGGACCGGAGGAGUACACACUCAUGGCGGCUACUCCAGACACCGUCCUCGAGCUUGCCGUACGCCCAAACAUCAUACUCAUCAUUCCUAGCGACCUCUCUGCACCGAUGCUGACCACCUGUUCGACAAAAUACUCUCGCAUUGACACCAACCUACUGAGGUAUGUGCUCCACCCAGCUGUGGCGCCCUCAUGGAUGGUGUUAUGA